UUCAUGGAGAGUUUGAUCCUGGCUCAGGACGAACGCUGGCGGCGUGCCUAAUACAUGCAAGUCGAGCGGAC
rnacentral:rRNA from 3 species